rnacentral:lncRNA from 1 species
UCAAGGAGAUGCCUACCUGGGGACAGAAUCUGGAAAAGACCUCAAAAUAGAUCUUCUCAAGGCACCCGGAGGCAAACGAGGCAUAGACACACUAGGAUAAAAGCUGUCUUCAAGUCAGAGCCCUCCCUAGGGCUCCAGGCAGAGCAAAGGACCAGAUCUCCCCCUCUGCACUCCCCACCUACAGAUGAGCACCCAGGCAGGGGACACUCAAAGCAGGUGAAUGAGACAGGGGGGGCAUGCAGAAGCCUUGAUCUCCGAGUGGUCUGUGGCCGUGAGGUGGAGAGAUACAACUGCUUUGUCGAGGACCCAAGGGAAAACCGAGCCGUGGCUGUCUGAGUCUUAUCAAAGGAAAAACGCUCAGGUCCCCCGCAUGGCAAAGCUGGAGGGCAAGCACACAUUUGAGGUCAUCUGUACCCAUCAGCCUCCCAAGGCACAGGACAGGAAAAAAAGCACACAUAGAUCAGGAGGGAGAGAAGGAAGACAUCCAUUACACUGGAGAAAAACUGUAUGAAUUUGCUCUUAUGGUAUGAUCUAAAAUAUUAAAUUUGAGAAAAAGUAGAAAUCAA